rnacentral:rRNA from 1 species
AGUGAACGCUGGCGGUAUGCCUAACACAUGCAAGUCGAACGGCCGCACAGUGAGAGCUUGCCUCUACCGGUGGCGAGGGACGGGUGGGUGACGCAUGCAUAGGAAUCUUAUUUUUCGUGGGGGAUAUCGUGGGGAAAGUUACGCUAAUACAGCAUAUGUCCAACGGCUGGAAGCAAGAGUUCAUGGGACCUUGCCUGACUCUUUUAGCCGGUGCCGGAUUAGCUAGUUGGGUGGGUAAGGGCACACCAAGGCAACGAUCCGUAGCUGGUCUGAGAGGGUGAUCGGCCACACUGGAACUGAGACACGGUCCAGACUCCUACGGGAGGCAGCAGUGGGGAAUCUUGGACAAUGGGCGCAAGCCUGACGCAGCAAUGCCGCGUGGGUGAUGAAGGCCUUCGGGUUGUAAAGCCCUUUUGUUGGGAAAGAAAAACAGCAGGUUAAUACCCCGAUGUUCUGACGGUACCUAAAGAAUAAGCACCGGCUAACUUCGUG